rnacentral:rRNA from 1 species
AGUGAACGCUGGCGGUAGGCCUAACACAUGCAAGUCGAACGGCAGCACAGUAAGAGCUUGCUCUUACGGGUGGCGAGUGGCGGACGGGUGAGGAAUACAUCGGAAUCUACUUUUUCGUGGGGGAUAACGUAGGGAAACUUACGCUAAUACCGCAUACGACCUACGGGUGAAAGCAGGGGAUCUUCGCACCUUGCGCGAUUGAAUGAGCCGAUGUCGGAUUAGCUAGUUGGCGGGGUAAAGGCCCACCAAGGCGACGAUCCGUAGCUGGUCUGAGAGGAUGAUCAGCCACACUGGAACGGAGACACGGUCCAGACUCCUACGGGAGGCAGCAGUGGGGAAUAUUGGACAAUGGGCGCAAGCCUGAUCCAGCCAUACCGCGUGGGUGAAGAAGGCCUUCGGGUUGUAAAGCCCUUUUGUUGGGAAAGAAAAGCAGCAGGUUAAUACCCCGCUGUUCUGACGGUACCCAAAGAAUAAGCACCGGCUAACUUCGUG